rnacentral:misc_RNA from 1 species
UGGCUUGGAUUUGGGGGGGUUUUUUGCAGGCUUCCAAGUCGGCUCCCCUGAAAAGCAUUAGUGGUAUCUGAGCAGAAAGACCACCUUGAGCAUGAUAAAUAACUAUGCCACUGGUGUGUGUCUGAUGCAAGCUGCUUUCCAACCCUUGCGCAUUUGACAAAUUUGACCUCAAAUCAGGUAGGACUACCCGCUGAACUUAA